rnacentral:rRNA from 1 species
GAUGAACGCUGGCGGCGUGCCUAAUACAUGCAAGUCGAGCGAACAGACGAGGAGCUUGCUCCUCUGACGUUAGCGGCGGACGGGUGAGUAACACGUGGAUAACCUACCUAUAAGACUGGGAUAACUUCGGGACACCGGAGCUAAUACCGGAUAAUAUAUUGAACCGCAUGGUUCAAUAGUGAAAGACGGUUUUGCUGUCACUUAUAGAUGGAUCCGCGCCGCAUUAUCUAGUUGGUAAGGUAACGGCUUACCAAGGCAACGAUGCGUAGCCGACCUGAGAGGGUGAUCGGCCACACUGGAACUGAGACACGGUCCAGACUCCUACGGGAGGCAGCAGUAGGGAAUCUUCCGCAAUGGGCGAAAGCUUGACGGAGCAACGCCGCGUGAGUGAUGAAGGUCUUCGGAUCGUAAAACUCUGUUAUUAGGGAAGAACAAAUGUGUAAGUAACUAUGCACGUCUUGACGGUACCUAAUCAGAAAGCCACGGCUAACUACGUG